rnacentral:rRNA from 1 species
UACGUAGGGUGCAAGCGUUAAUCGGAAUUACUGGGCGUAAAGCGUGCGCAGGCGGUUAUGUAAGACAGAUGUGAAAUGCCCGGGCUUAACCUGGGAACUGCAUUUGUGACUGCAUGGCUAGAGUUUGGCAGAGGGGGGUAGAAUUCCACGUGUAGCAGUGAAAUGCGUAGAUAUGUGGAGGAAUACCGAUGGCGAAGGCAGCCUCCUGGGCCAACACUGACGCUCAUGCACGAAAGCGUGGGGAGCAAACAGG